rnacentral:rRNA from 1 species
UACGUAGGUGGCUAGCGUUGUCCGGAUUUAUUGGGCGUAAAGAGCUCGUAGGCGGUUUGUCACGUCGGGAGUGAAAACUCGGGGCUUAACCCCGAGCCUGCUUCCGAUACGGGCUGACUAGAGGUAUGCAGGGGAGAACGGAAUUCCUGGUGUAGCGGUGAAAUGCGCAGAUAUCAGGAGGAACACCGGUGGCGAAGGCGGUUCUCUGGGCAUUACCUGACGCUGAGGAGCGAAAGUGUGGGGAGCGAACAGG